rnacentral:lncRNA from 1 species
GUCGUCCUCUCUCCUAGGUCUGCACAGCCUAGCCCUGACUUCAGGAACUGAACAGGCUCCCAGAGGUCAGAACCGAAAACAGCCCUAGAGGCCUCCAACCAAAUAUUCCUGACCUGGAUCGUGCAUCCUCAAAGGGCCCUAAGCAGAAACUGAGGUUCGGAAAGGAGUGGCUUCUCCAAGGACGUGCAGCUUGUGCCUAGCAGUGGCAUCAGACCCGCGGCUCUUGGCAUCUCUCAGCAAACUCUCGUUGGACGCAUUAGCCAUCAGGAGGGUUCUAGAUCUCUGAGCUGGAGAAAAGAACCUGCAUGAACCCAUUUUGUCUACACUCUGCCUCAGAGAAGUAACUGGAGCAGUGAUUUUGAGAGCAAUCCAUGCAUUUUCAAGAAGGAAGGCACAGAGACAGGGGUGACCAGUGCUGUCUAAACAGCAUGACGUCGAGGCUAGGAAUCCCAACUUUGCCAUCAGACACAUUUUGGUUUGAACCCGGUCGCCGCUACUUUCUGGUGUGAUCCCAGAGACGUCACCUACCCUCGUGUGUAGGGAGAGAUGGUAAAUGCUCCUGGUCAGAGGGCUGCUCUGAAGACUCAACAGGACAACGAUGUGAAAAGGGUGGCACCGUGCCUGGCAC